CUCUCAUGGGUUGGGGGCUAUUACCCCUGCAGGGCUGGCACUGGGGAACCUUUUGGGCCAUUCUCAACUGAUGCUUCUUUUCUUCCAGGGAAAGGGCCCUCUGGCCCGCACAGCAUGGAUAUGGGCAGAACGGUUUUUCCUAACUAGGCCUUCUGGGUUGCAGCAGAACAGCAUGUGUCUGCUUCUCAAAUGUAACAGGGCAAGAUGUUCAGGUCUUGUGUCCUCUGUGAAGCAGGGCUGCAAGGACCCCUUACCAAGGAGAAGGUGAGGAGAAGUAAUAGUGGAAAUAUCUAUCAGAACAGUAAAGAUAGGCACAGCUCAUUAUUUUGUGCAAAGCAACUUGCAUACAUUAUGUCGUUUGACCUGCACAGAUGAAACAGGCUCAGAGACGGUAUAUAAUUUGUCCAAGAUCACACAGCAGGCUAGGCUUUGAUAUACACAGUAAGCACUGAACUAAUCCUGGG
rnacentral:lncRNA from 1 species